rnacentral:tRNA from 1 species
GACCGCGUAGCUCAGUUGGCAGAGUAUUGGGCUAGUAUUCCAAAGGUCGUAGGUUCGAUUCCCACCGUGGCCG